rnacentral:rRNA from 1 species
CCUACGGGGGGCUGCAGUGGGGAAUAUUGCACAAUGGGCGAAAGCCUGAUGCAGCGACGCCGCGUGAGCGAUGAAGUAUUUCGGUUCGUAAAGCUCUGUCCGCAGGGAAGAAAAUGACAGUACCUGACCAGGAAGCCCCGGCUAACUACGUGCCAGCAGCCGCGGUAAUACGUAGGGGGCUAGCGUUAUCCGGAUUUACUGGGUGUAAAGGGUGCGUAGGUGGUUUUUUAAGUCAGAGGUGAAAGUCUAGGGCUCAACCGUAGUAUGCCUUUGAAAAUGGUGAACUUGAGUUCAGGAGAGGCGAGCGGAAUUCCUGGUGUAGCGGUGAAAUGCGUAGAUAUCAGGAGGAACACCAGCGGCGAAGGCGGCCUUCUGGACUGAAACUGACACUGAGGCACGAAAGCGUGGGGAGCAAACAGGAUUAGAUACCCGAGUAGUC